AUUGAACGCUGGCGGCAGGCCUAACACAUGCAAGUCGAGCGGAUGAAGGGAGCUUGCUCCUGGAUUCAGCGGCGGACGGGUGAGUAAUGCCUAGGAAUCUGCCUGGUAGUGGGGGAUAACGUCCGGACACGGGCGCUAAUACCGCAUACGUCCUGAGGGAGAAAGUGGGGGAUCUUCGGACCUCACGCUAUCAGAUGAGCCUAGGUCGGAUUAGCUAGUUGGUGGGGUAAAGGCCUACCAAGGCGACGAUCCGUAACUGGUCUGAGAGGAUGAUCAGUCACACUGGAACUGAGACACGGUCCAGACUCCUACGGGAGGCAGCAGUGGGGAAUAUUGGACAAUGGGCGAAAGCCUGAUCCAGCCAUGCCGCGUGUGGGAAGAAGGUCUUCGGAUUGUAAAGCACUUUAAGUUGGGAGGAAGGGCAGUAAGUUAAUACCUUGCUGUUUUGACGUUACCAACAGAAUAAGCACCGGCUAACUUCGUG
rnacentral:rRNA from 1 species